rnacentral:lncRNA from 1 species
GUUUUCAUUUUCCACCACGCACGAGAAAGCCACCGGCAAAGGAGGAACCUGACCUCCGGUGACCAGGCCUCUGUCGGCAACGACAGUGGAAGACGGCCGUGAUAUGGUCAUUGAGAUUGGCGUGUGCCGCUAAUGGCUCCAGGCGGCCGUCGGCGACGGCAGUGGAAGACGGCGUCAAGAUAGUCGUUUACGACAGAGUGUUACGCUAAUGGCUUCAACGGGAGUAAAAACUCUCUCGAUUCUUUCUAAUUUUAUAUGCUCUUUAAUGGGGUUUGAUUGUAGCUACGGUGAUUAAUUUCUAUGUUCGUUAAUGGGGGUUGAUUGUGGCUAUGACUUUAAUCUUCAAAAUUGAACUAUAGAAAUUGGAAUUCAUCAUGUCAAACAUCAUCGUCGCUUGCUUCACUUAGGGCUGCUUUUGUUGAUCAUUUCGUUGGCCAUUUGAGGAUGUUGAGAGCAGUUGGAGCAACUUGCUGUAGAAAGAACACCCAGAGUAUAAAUUCACAUUUUUGUUUUAUGGUUUUUCUCGGUUUUAGUUGUUGUUUGCUUACUGCUUAGCAUGGUUUUACAACUCAUGCCCCGCAACGUGGGGUUAAAUACUAGUUUAUAAACAAAAUAAGGACUAAAAGCAAGGAUAAUGUUUGUUUUUUGUUGAUUUAUUUGAAAUGGAUGGAUCCUACCAUUUUGUG